rnacentral:rRNA from 1 species
UGGGGAAUAUUGCACAAUGGGCGAAAGCCUGAUGCAGCGACGCCGCGUGAGGGAUGACGGCCUUCGGGUUGUAAACCUCUUUCAGCAGGGACGAAGCGCAAGUGACGGUACCUGCAGAAGAAGCACCGGCUAACUACGUGCCAGCAGCCGCGGUAAUACGUAGGGUGCAAGCGUUGUCCGGAAUUACUGGGCGUAAAGAGUUCGUAGGCGGUUUGUCGCGUCGUUUGUGAAAACCACCAGCUCAACUGCUGGCUUGCAGGCGAUACGGGCAGACUUGAGUACUGCAGGGGAGACUGGAAUUCCUGGUGUAGCGGUGAAAUGCGCAGAUAUCAGGAGGAACACCGGUGGCGAAGGCGGGUCUCUGGGCAGUAACUGACGCUGAGGAACGAAAGCGUGGGUAGCGAACAGG